CUGGAAGGAGGAAAGAGCUCCCUUUUCCCCACUGUUUGCGUCUCAGGAGGAGGGAGUGAAAGAGGAAGGAGUUUGUUCUGAUUACUCCCGUGUGGGAGAGACCUGCAGCUCCAGCUCACCUCGCUAACACUCUGUCAGUGUUGACAUCUACACAACUCCUCAGAGGUGUUCAGAAGAAUGAUGUCAACUGUUAUUCAUAUUCUCACUUUGUAUGGAUGGAGCUUCUAACUAAUCUAGCAGGCUGGAGCCCCUGCUGCAAUGCCACAGCAGCUCACACCUUGUUGCGAUCUGAGUCUCCUGGAACAAUAAUCACCCAGAGCCACCCUCGCUGCAGAUGGUAGGUAAUAUUAAAAUUCUUUUUAAGGGACCAAAAAUUCAUUCCUGCUGAAAAUAAACUGACUAUUCUUCUGUUCUAAAUAUGUGGA
ensembl:lncRNA